ensembl:lncRNA
UAUGUGCUCCCAUGUUUAUUGCAGCAUUAUUCAUAACAGCCAAGAUAUGAAAACAACCUAAUGUCCAUCAACAGAUGAAUGGAUAAAAAAAGAUGUGGUAUAUAUACACAACGGAAUAUUAUUCAGCCAUAAGAAAGGAGGAUAUCCUGCCAUUUGCAACAACAUGGAUGGACCUUGAGCAUAUUAUGCUAAGUGAGAUAAGUCAGACAGAGAAAAAGUAUGAUAUCACUUAUAUGUGGAAUCUAAAAAAGUCAAAAAUCAUAAAAAACAGUAAAAUGGUGGUUCCCAGGGAGUGGAGGGUGGGGGGAUAGGAUUGAUGCUGUUUAAGGGUACAAACUUGCAAUAAGUAGUAAAUAAGCCAUAGAGAUCCAACACAUAGUAUAAUGAAUAUAGACAAUAUCGUACUACAAUUAUGUGAUGUGAUAAAUAUCACUACAAUGGCUAUUACAACAUAUGUAUCAAAGUAACAAGUUGUACAUCUUAAAUUUUCAUAAUGUUAUACAUCAAAUAUAUUCAAUAAAAAAAAAAUAGAGAUGAUAGCCAAAAUUCUGAGUGUAGAAAAAAUAAAAUGCAGGAGAAUGUUUCAAAUGAGAGAAGAGUGGCCUGGGAACUAGAGCACACUACACCUAUAGGCAGACAAGGAAGGCAAACUCACUAAGGAGACUUGAAGAAGGAGUGGCCAAAGAGAUGAAUGGAGAAUGGGGUGAGAGUGGGAUACAAGAAGCCAGGAGAGGAGAGAGAGAAGCAGUGAUCCAUAUCUUCAAAUGAUGUGAAGAAAAUUCGAGAUUGCCAGUGGUCAGCUUGAUCUUUAUAGUGACAAGAAUGAUUCAAUCUAAACCAAUUCUGGAGGAAAGUUUCCAGAAAGAAGGGCUUGAUUCUUUAUCUCCACCUUAAUUAAUUUAAUCAGAAUCUCUGGUGAUGAGGCUUAGGAAUAAGUAUUUCUAAAAGCUUCUCAGGUAUCUUUCAUGUGGCCAAUUUUGUGAAGCACAAAAAAAAAAAAACCAACAGAAGUUAGCACAAUUUGGUACAGUAUUCCUAAAUAUGGAGCAAAUUAGAGCUUUCUUUGCCAUCAACGGUUGCCCAGCUAUUCAAGAGUCAUUACAGUUGCCCUUCCACCUGUUCCCUAUUCUUCAUCCACCCAGGAAUUAUCAAGCCCAAGUGGAGCAGCUGCCUUAUUUACAUUAGGCUCAACAUCUGAGAGCGCAAAUUCAGCCCUUGGCAAAGCUACUUAAGCCAUGGCAACAUCAUGAUAAACAACUCACCAAACAAACCCAUAAACAAUGAAAGGACCCUGAAGAAUUAUGUCCCCCUCUAUCUCCUUUUCUUUUCAGGACAUUUCUAAUUUCUAGUGGUGGCUCUUGACGAUAAAUUUGACCAUUCCUCUUGUAACAGUGCAGGGACAUUGGGAUAAUUUAGUAUUGGCAGAGGGAGCUUUUCAUUCCCAGGUAAACCAGGUGCUGAGAAUGUGCUGAGUUUAUAUGAGAAAAUCAUUCAUUCUCUGCACAGACUCAGUGUGGUCUGCAGCCCCCUAAUGAUCCCAUCUUCUGGUACUUGUAUUCCUUUCAUAGUGUCGCUGUAACAAAUCACAACAAACUUAGCAGCUUCAAACACCACCCAAAUCUUAUCUCACAGUUCUGUAGGCAGAAGUCCUACUGGUCUCACCAGCCUAAAGUUAACGUGUUGGUGGCGACAUUCCUUACCAGAGGCUCGGGGAUGAAUCUGCUUCCAAGCUCUUUCAAGUUGUUGGAUGAAUUCAGUUCCUUGUGGCUGUAGGACUGAGGUUCCCAACUCCUCGCUGGCUGUCACCAGGGACCAGUCUUUGCUCCUAGAGCCUGUCUGUGUACCUUCUGAUGCUUUGGAUGAGCUCCUAGAAGCCUUUCUCCAGUUACUGCACAUGGCCUUCAUGUCUCAGAGCCUGCAAUAACACCUCAAAUACCUUUCACCCCGGG